UGACUUCGUUAGUGAGCGCCU
rnacentral:siRNA from 1 species